GUCAGAAAGUCCUUCAGCCGGUUC
rnacentral:siRNA from 1 species